rnacentral:rRNA from 1 species
UACGUAGGGUGCAAGCGUUGUCCGGAAUUACUGGGCGUAAAGCGUGCGCAGGCGGUUUGUUAAGUCCGCUGUGAAAUCCCCGAGCUCAACUUGGGAAUUGCAGUGGAUACUGGCAAGCUGGAGUAUGGUAGAGGAAGGUGGAAUUCCCGGUGUAGCAGUGAAAUGCGUAGAGAUCGGGAGGAACACCAGUGGCGAAGGCGGCCUUCUGGACCAAUACUGACGCUCAUGCACGAAAGCGUGGGGAGCAAACAGG